ACAGUUCUCAAUAUUCAUCCAUAUUGCAGUCUUCCAUACGGAACUUACGGUUUUCGAAUGCUUCGAAACCACGUUACUUGGUUACCCCUUACAACGAAGAUCAUAUCCAGGCAACCAUAAUCUGUUCCAAGGAACAUCACAUGCAUGUUAGAGUUCGAAGUGGUGGACAUGACUAUGAAGGCCUCUCUUACAUAUCUGAUGUUCCAUUUAUAGUUAUAGAUCUUUUCCAUAUCCGGUCUGUCAUGGUAGAUAUAAAAAAUGAAUAUGCAUGGGUUGGAGCUGGUGCAACUCUUGGUGAAUUAUAUUAUAGUAUUUCUGCCAAAAGUAAUGUCCAUGGAUUCCCUGCCGGGAGUUGUCCCACUGUAGGGGUGGGGGGACACAUCAGUGGAGGUGGAUUCGGUACGAUAUUCAGAAAAUACGGUUUAGCAGCCGACAAUGUUAUCGACGCCAAGAUGAUCGACGUUAAUGGAAAUGUUCUUGACAGGAAAUCAAUGGGAGAAGAUCUGUUUUGGGCCAUCAGAGGCGGUGGAGGAGCGAGCUUUGGUGUUAUUUUCUCAUGGAAACUUAAGUUGGUUCGUGUUCCUCUGACCGUAACCGUUUUUAAAACCGUAAAGUCAUUGGAACAAGGAGCAACCAAACUUGUCCAGAAGUGGCAAAACAUUGCAUAUAAGUUUCACCAUGACCUUUUCGUCCAUGCAGUUAUACAAGUUACUAAUCCGAAUUCAAACCAAAACCCAACCGUUCAAGUUUCUUUCGAUUGCUUGUUUCUUGGGACUACCGAAAGACUCCUCUCUUCCAUACAACGUAGUUUCCCCGAGCUAGGCGUA
rnacentral:lncRNA from 1 species